UGUUGAGUAACUUGCGCAGCAGGAGUUAAAGGUUUUGCCACCGUGGCUAAAAAAUACACAACAACGUCGUGGAAUGAAAACUGCGGCCAUAUUGUCCAGCCCACUCGUUUCGAUCCGUAAACUUAAGGAAACAUGUUUUCCAGAAUGAAACAGAUCUACCAACAAUUUCUGGAUUGUUUUAACUGAACAACACCCAUAAUUUAAAGAGCACACAUUAUAAAGCUGAUAAAUCUUUGUCUAAUUCUUUUAUUCGGUUUGUUGCAACCGUUUUGAUUUAGAAGACAACACACAGUUAAAUGAGGCACUGAUUGUAUUUUUUCUUUAAACUGGAAUGAUGUGUUUUUGUAUGGCGUGAAGAGCCCAUCAGUAGAGCAGAGGGAGCGUUGGGUGUUGGAGUUCCUCUGAAGAGGCAGAGGAGUGGAGGAAGGCUGAAGAUUUCGACUGGUUCCCAGCUGAAACUGGAAAGGAAACAGUUGAAACGCCAGCAGAGAGACCAUUUAACACCAGUUGGACCUGAUCUGCUGACCCGUCUCCUUGGAAACGUUCUCUUCCUCUGGGCUCCACUGCUGGUCAGCUGUAAAGAGGUCAAAGUGCAAGUUGACUGUAAUGACAUCCACAAUGAGGACCAGAAACUUCCCAGUGGAGUAAACACCAUCUAUCCAAGUGGAACUGCUUCAGAUAAACUUUAAGUUUGGUUUGUUCCUAAGAAUGAAGGCGGGACUAAAACCGGUCAAGUUCUUCGAAGCAAUGCUUUUUCACUCCAUUCUACGUGGAAACAAAGGAAGAACUAAUUAAUCCUGACUCGUGUGAAAGGAGUUUGGCUGAUGUUCUCACUCCACACCACUUGAUGACGGUGCACCCCAAGCCGUAUUCCUACCUGAUAACUAUGAUAACUGAUAACUAUGGCUGGAAGAAGGCGGAGGAGAGGAAGAGGGGUGCGUUGGUGAGAGAUAUGGGACGCUGAUUAAGUGAAGUUGUUUGAUCAACAAUUUUGUGUUGUUUUUGGCGGCUGGAAUAAACUGGAUUGUGACAGGAUUGGGAUGACAACCAAUCCUGUCACAAACCUGCAGCGGAAGUCUAGUGAUGGCCAAAUGAAGCCUCAUGAAGCAAUGAAGCUUCCCGGCCCAUUGCUUUGCCCAAAGGUUUGUUACUCGGUGGUUCAUUCAUUUCUCUCUAGUGACAUCAGCUGUUGAAACUGUGACAGUCUUGUCACUCAAAAACAUACUUAAAAAACAUUAGCAAAUGCAAUAUUGUCACAAUUUUUUUUGUCAAACUCUUGUUUAGUAAUAGGAGAGUCAAGUUUUAGUUAUUCAAGUGAUCUGUAGCCAAUCCUGGUAAUUGUUGACUGUCAGUGGCUGUUUUCCUUUGUCACUGACUGAUUUGACAGUACAUGUUUGUUUUAGUGUA